rnacentral:rRNA from 1 species
CAGUCGCCGCGGUAAUACGAAGGGUGCAAGCGUUACUCGGAAUUACUGGGCGUAAAGCGUGCGUAGGCGGUUUGUUAAGUCUGUCGUGAAAGCCCUGGGCUCAACCUGGGAAUUGCGAUGGAUACUGGCAAGCUAGAGUACGGUAGAGGAUGGUGGAAUUCCCGGUGUAGCGGUGAAAUGCGUAGAGAUCGGGAGGAACACCCGUGGCGAAGGCGGCCAUCUGGACCAGUACUGACGCUGAGGCACGAAAGCGUGGGGAGCAAACAGGAUUAGAUACCCCCGUAGUCCCUGUCUCUUAUAC